AUGGUGGCACGCAGGCGAAGGAGCAGGAGCAGGAGCAGGCCACCUCUUGGGCGCGCGACGGAGGUGUUGCGUGGGGCGAAGCGACGUUUGGAUUUUGCGUCUGGUUGCCAGCUCCCUCUGCGCUUUCAUGGUCGGCGACGAAAUGCGUCGAGCGCGCAGAGGAAAGCAGCUCCUCGUUUCGUGUUCCACCUCACUCUGCGAGUAGGAAAUGUGAAGGGCUUGAGAUCGGUACGGCUUUCUAUUGCCGACGUUUCGAACCUAUCACCGGAGUGUGCACGCGUACGUGUUCCAGGAGGAUCGAUUUACCUUUUCUGA
rnacentral:rRNA from 1 species